rnacentral:rRNA from 1 species
AGCGAACGCUGGCGGCAGGCCUAACACAUGCAAGUCGAACGGACCCUUCUGGGUUAGUGGCGGACGGAUGAGUAACACGUAGGAACGUGCCUUUAGGUUCGGAAUAGCUCCUGGAAACGGGUGGUAAUGCCGAAUGUGCCCUUCGGGGGAAAGAUUUAUCGCCUUUAGAGCGGCCCGCGUCUGAUUAGCUAGUUGGUGAGGUAAUGGCUCACCAAGGCGACGAUCAGUAGCUGGUCUGAGAGGAUGACCAGCCACAUUGGGACUGAGACACGGCCCGAACUCCUACGGGAGGCAGCAGUGGGGAAUCUUGCGCAAUGGGCGAAAGCCUGACGCAGCCAUGCCGCGUGAAUGAUGAAGGUCUUAGGAUUGUAAAAUUCUUUCACCGGGGACGAUAAUGACGGUACCCGGAGAAGAAGCCCCGGCUAACUUCGUGCCAGCCGCCGCCGUAACAC